rnacentral:lncRNA from 1 species
UCCAGAGAGCCCAGGAAUGAUGUCCAAGAGGUCCCUCAGGGCUAGGUGACAGUAUUUGCUUUUAACGUGAAGAUUGUACAGCAUCAGAAUGUUUGUAAACCCCCGUCUCACAGGAUCCAGCCAUAUAGGCCGUAUUGCCUCUCAAUAUUGUCUUAGAAACGAAUCUUGGAUCCUAGAGCAAUUUGACAGCACAGCCAAUACUGUGUCCACAAGACCACAGAAUAUAUGCCAGAAAAAGCAGGUGCUCAAAUCCCUGAAAUCACAACGGACAUGUGGCCCCCUAAGAAGGAAGUGCUCUGGAUUGAGUUCACCCUCUCCCUGCACGGUUGCAAGGGUAGGGCCUGCCCCACUGCACAAGCCCUGGGUGCUGGGCCUGACAGAUGCUCUAACGGCCUCAUGAGCCACCACACCCUAGGCCCGGCCUACCUUGCCUGGUGCCAGCCAGCCAGUUCACACCAGGGAGGCCAGGCCCAGCUGCACGCAAGCCUGCUUCCUUACUGUCCUUUAGGGUGUCUCCUGUGAUGCCUGCUCUGCCUGCUGGUCUGUGUUAUUCUUGUCAAUGGCCCAUCCUUUCCUAGCUGUUGACAAAAUGCAAAAUAAGUGAGUUCUCUUUCUUCUCCCUUUUAAUUUUCUUUCCUCCACACUUUGGCUGCCUUCUCCAAAUUCCCAAAACUCUGAGGUUGUCCUCAGGAUACCAGGAGCUUCUCACCACAGCAUUCAACCUCAGCCACAUGACCUCUAUGGGCAGGAAUUUUCUCUCCAAACUUGCCCUUCAGAAACUGAAACAUUCUUUGUCUUUCUCGCUCUCAGUGAGUUGCCAUAUUGGAAAGCAGACCAAUACAAAUUUUUUUUCCCAGUGACAGUAAUGAAACUAUCUCACACAUUGUCAGACGGGCUUUGUUGUACAAAAAUCAAUUUCUUGUCCAUUAUCUCAAAUGAUCCCAACCUCAGUACUGUAGAAAUAUGUGAGGAAAAGAUGAAACUCAUCAUUUCAUUGACAAGAACACUGGUGUGCACUGGGCGCAAGAGCAUGGAAUUAAGACUCCAGGCCUCAGAGGACUUCCAUGCUGUAUUACGGAGUUCUACAAGGGAUCACGCCAGACAACAGGCAAAUGGACAAAUCAUCAUGGAUUCUAAACACUUCAGCACAGGACUCUUGGGGAUGUCACAGUUUGGGAAAGGAGUGGCUCUUCAAGGCAGCAUCACCCCCAGGAACAUCACGAGGGUCGGUGGAGCCCAGGGUGAGGUACACUGGGGACCUGCAAGAAACUGGGAACUGCAUGGAUUUGGGAGGACUUAUUGGGGCACAAUAGGAGGGUCUCUUCUGUAAGGCCUUUCAAAUCCCACCAAAAUACUAGAUGCCUAAGACUUGGAACGUCAGAGCCUUACCUUAGGGCAACAGCCUCUUGCGGAAGUACCUGGGCCCUGAGCCGGGUGGAUUCCAGUUCCCCUGUAACAGCCUAGAUGAGGGGCCAGGGGUUGAGGAAGGUGUAGGCCGCAGCUGCAGAACGAGUGCUGUUGGGGUGUGCAUGCUCCUGCAGGCUGAGGCUGUGUGCCACCCAUGCAAGUGCUGCCCAUGCUCCUCCUUGUGAAUGUGCAAAGCAGAGGAGGCUGCAACUGUUAGAAGAUGCGAAGGAGGUGGGGGAAGUUACAUCUCCUCUCCCACCUCUAGAAAUCCUCUUCCAAAUGCACCAGAAUGCAGAGAUGGAGGUGAGGACUCCAGUGUGACCUGUGGGGCCCAGGCACAGCUGCCUUUCUCAGCAGGGGUGGCUUUUCCAUCAGCAAGGCACUGGAUGUUCCGGGGAAGGAGGUGUGCAUGGCUUUAUUUUAAACCACUGCCCUGCCCCUCCCUAGUUACAAGGAAACUUGCUGAGUCUCAGCUUUCUCAACUGAAGAUGAGGCUAACGUCAUCCAUGGGAGUGCAAUGAGGGCCGGUGGAGCCCAGGGUGAGGUGCACUGGAGACCUGCAAAAAAUGCUUCUUUGAGAAGACUGUUCAGGAGCCUGGUAGGUUGCCUGGAUUCAAGCAAAGGGCUCUGUGAGUGGGGUAACAACAUCGCUGGCUAACAGAUGAAUGGGGAAUCCUUUUUCUAAUUAACCUCCAGGCAACAAUCAAGUUGUGUUUUCAAUCCAAGCUAUACAAUAUAAUACCUAGGAACUGCAUACAGCGGGCAUGUUUUGAAGGACAGACCAUGCUUGCAGGCUCUAGGUGGGAUACAAAGACAAAAGCCCAGGGACACCCAGGCCUACUUCCCCACAGCCUUGCUGCGCUCUUAAUGAUAGGGGAUCUGGGGUUUGAGCGUCCAUGAAAGAAAGGACUAAAGGGAUGGGCUAAUAUCUUCUUACAAUACAAAAGUGUGCCACGGAUGCACACACAUUUUGCUGCUGCCACAUGAGAUUAAAGAAUUGUUCUGUGAGAUCUCCUCUGGGGGACUAUGAGUCAUGGUGGUUUCUACCAAAACUCCGGCCGCAGCACAACCAUGUUCAUACACAAAGUUGAGAAAUUUUCCUUACAGGAACAGAAUAUAUUCAACUAUUUGAUAUGUUUGAACACAUACACACACCAAAAUGUGUUUCCUGGUAAAUGAUUCAGAUACUCCAAGGCAUAUCGAGAGUUUCCAAAUUAACUCAAUAUUUAGACAAAUCUUUCCUUGGUAAUGUGACCUAUUUAUAAAGAAUACAGUGAAAACAAUGGAAGAUUAUUGUGCAAG